GGGCAGUUAGCCGUUAAUUUCGCGCAGCGCCAGGUUCAGUUUCUACGAGAUGGCUCAGAGUUGACUGCUCUCCGACAGUCCGGCUUAAUAUGUACCCUCCCUGUCCAAGGAAGAUCAGGACUGCCUUAAGAAUGCAGGAAAAUCCCUGAGGCCCAGGAUGUGGGGAACUGGGCGCCCUCUCCCUUACCUCAGGUUUGGUCACUGCCGAUGAUCAUCGUCAAGCAUAAGCAAGACCUGGAUGCCAUUUGUGCUCGCAGUCGCCUUCCAGGAACUAGAAAGUCAUCUCUCAGGAGUCUGCAUCCCCGCGGCAUCUUGCUCGGCCCGUGCCUUCCCAGGCUUCGCUCUGUUAGCUACCUAGAAGAGGGUCUGCUAGUAGGACCUGGGGCUUUUGUUCCCUGCAUCGCCCACGCUCGUGUCCCCCUCAAGAUGCUCAGUACUUUCCCUUGACUGCGGAGAUCUGAGCUUAGCCCAGGCAGCUGGAGAAGACGCGGCCCUUGCUGGUCAAGGUUCCUUCAAAGUCUAGGCCCACGGGAUCCCUCAAAGAUGGCUGGGCGUGAGCAGGAACCCCACUGCAGGCUCUGGUAGCCCUGCCCUCCUCAGAGCUCAGCUCGCACCCAAAGGCUCUUCCAUUUACCAUCAACGUGGAAACUUGGCUCUUCGCAUGAGUGUAUUCUCCCUCUUUUGUGCAUUAUCUUGUUCCUCAAAACUGCCUUUCCGCGAAGGAGGCCUGUGGGGUUCAAGGGGUCUGGCCAGUCACGCAGAAGUGACUGAGCCCCUCAGACCUCAGGUUGGGUGGACGGAUUUAAUAAAGGCUUUAGACCUUGAC